rnacentral:lncRNA from 1 species
UUUGGAAAAACUAUACUUUUAUGUCAGGAUUACUAAAUUUUAUAGACUGAACCAAACACAGUAAUGCUAUAAACACUGUAAUCCAACAUUAUAUUACUCGAUUAAGCCAAACGCGCUAAUGCAGCAUCAGUAGUAAUCUCACACCGAAAUCCAAAAUACCUGAAUAUGUCGAUAUACUAUGUAAUAUUACAUAAUUCGAACCAAACGCGCCCUUAGUAAUUCUUGGCUUUACCAUAUUCUAGAAUUGAUCCUGUCACGCCCCGGGGUCCCUUUUUAUUUGAAACAUAGCGGAAAAGCGUCAAAAUUUUUUUUUUGAUAAUCUGACCCCAGGAUAUGCCAGAUCCGCCACAAAUACAGGAAAUCCACUGUUCACACGGACAGAGUCUCCCCUGUAUUUGCACGGCGUCGCACAAGUACAAAAGUACANGAUACAUCAUUGGUGGAGCAAUGUCUGAAUUCGAUUUCAGUGGGUACGUGGUCAAGUUUCGGGGAAGAAACUUUUUUUAAGGGGGGGAUGAUGUAAGGACUGAGAUUUCGACAGCGUAGCUA